ACUGUAUGUAAAAAAAUAAAAUAGUACAAUUUAACUUGCUUUUGGUACAACUUUUUUAAUCUUAUGUUAGUCCUCUCUAACUGUGUCUUCUAAAUAAGGGUAAUGAUAGAACCCAAGGAGAAGCUGAAACAGAGCAAUAAUCACACAUACAUGAUACGACUCAAAUUUGAACUUGGAAAAGAGAUUGUUACCUGAACUGUAUUUGCUCUUUCUGCGUGUUUGGAAAUUUCAACAAUGGCAAAGCGCAAAAUUUAUUAAUUUCCUGUAAAUAAAUAGA